AACAGAGGCACAGUUAACCAGGGCACGCCCUGAGAAGGGACAGGGUUGGGGCUACAGCCUUGGUAUUGGGAAGGUUCAGUUCUUCACCCUAUAUUGAACUUUCUUAUGAGGUCAAGAUGUGUAGAUGAAGGUUCUGGUCUGAGAUCUUAAAAAGGGAGAAGUCUAAUAUCACCCACACAUUCCUGUCUUCUUUCCUUCAACUGUGCCCUCAUACUGGCUCCUUGAUCUGAGUUAUAUCUAUCCUAUUCAAGUAGGAGCCUCUGAAACUCUCUCUCAAUCCCUGGACAAGAUCAGAAGGAAAAAGGAAGCAUGGCUCCAGAAGAACAAAGAAGACACAAUGGCAAUAAAUUUUUGAAGCUAGAAAUUAGACACAAAAGUGGUAACUCACUUGGCAGCUCAUGGAAAGCACACAUAGGAAGCAAGAUUGAAAGCCUGGAUAGUGUCCUUGAAAUAGCUAAUUCAUCAUGCAGAACCUGAGAUUUUGGAAACAUCAGGUGAUGAUCAAUGUGCAGAUAUGGGAAGGUCCAAAACAAGGAGAAUUGGUUGAAGCAGUUAGAUCUCUAGAUGCCCUCUUCACCCCACAUAGACAAUCAACUACCUGAGCAUUAAUAUAAAACAGGAGAUUUAUUUUCCGGAGGGGAUGAAGCAAAGGGACUCUGAACUGGGAACACCAAGUUGAAAGUGUGAAUCCUAUACUGAAAACAGGAUUAAGUGAUGAAGUGAUGCUCUUCCUGCUAAUGAUGAAAAUGCUAGAACCAGUUUUGGCCAAACAGGUUUAUAAUCCUCUUUUUUUUUUUUCAGAUGGAGUCUCGCUCUGUCACCCAGGCUGGAGUGCAGUGGUGCGAUCUUGGCUUACUGCUCCGCCUCCCGGGUUCGCGCCAUUCUCCUGCCUCAGCCUCUGAAGUAGCUGGGACUACAAGUGCCCACCACAAUGCCUGGCUAACUUUUGUAUUUUUAGUAGAGAUGGGGUUUCACCAUGUUAGCCAGGACGGUCUCGAUCUCCUGACCUCGUGAUCUGCCCG
rnacentral:lncRNA from 1 species